UGGCGGACGGGUGAGUAAUGUCUGGGAAACUGCCCGAUGGAGGGGGAUAACUACUGGAAACGGUAGCUAAUACCGCAUAACGUCGCAAGACCAAAGAGGGGGACCUUCGGGCCUCUUGCCAUCGGAUGUGCCCAGAUGGGAUUAGCUAGUAGGUGGGGUAACGGCUCACCUAGGCGACGACCCCUAGCUGGUCUGAGAGGAUGACCAGCCACACUGGAACUGAGACACGGUCCAG
rnacentral:rRNA from 1 species